CAGAACCCGUCCACAGACUAAGCACAGUGUUGCUUACAGAAGACAGACUUCAGAGCAAGGUCUAUCAGUCAGGAAGGCAGCUGUUAUGCUGGGAGCCCGUCAAAAGCCAGAAUGUGGAGGUCUUUUGACGAGAGGGUGGCUGUUUCAUUUCCCAAAAAAGAAACUACGAUUCUUCAGCUUUGGAAUGCUUAGGUUAAUAGUAUUCUGUGUAAUAGACUGGGACGUUGAUUGCUUCAUUUACUGAUCUUUAAAGAAGCCAGGUGUUUGCGGCCUCAAGUUUCACCCCCCUUUUGCCAUUCUGAAGUCUCCAGUUCCUAAGCCCCAGAGGAGUCCUGCCGGGCACACCAUCUCUCCCUCCCUUUGAUCCAGAUUCCCCGAGGUAGGCACUUGCUGCUUCUUCCUCCUCCUUGCCUGGUCCGUCCAUCACUUUCCACGGGCUUUCUGCCUUACAGAAUUUGGUGGAAACCCCUCAUCUGCACAUGACCCCUCUCCAGUCUCUUUGACACUGCAGCAGCAGUAUUCACAAUAACCAAGACAUGGAAACAACCUCAAUGUCCAUUGACAGAUGAAUGGAUAAAGCUGAUGUGGUGCAUAUAUAAAAUGGAAUACUACUCGGCUGUAAAAAAAAAAAGAAUGAAAUAAUGCCAUUUGCAGCAACAUGGAUGCAACUAAAGAUUAUCAUCCUAAGUGAAGGAGUAGGCAGCCUGACCUCCAGAACCACAUCCUCCGUGUGUCCUUGCGUCCUGAGUCAGGUCCCCCUUCCUGGGAAGGAGAAGUCUGUCUCCGGAGAGCAGACACACAGAAGAUGCCUUUGGCGCCUACCACGUCUAUAGCCCCUGCUGGGGAGCUCAGGGGAGCAGAGAAAGGCGGCGAGCAGAGCCUCUGGGCAGUGGAAGCCCUGGAUAAAUAGAAGAAAGGAGGAAGAGCUGCUUACUCAGCCGUGCCUCGGAAAGCCUGGAUCUCCGGAGUGACAGAGCUGCAGCGUGGAGAGCCCAGGGCAGAUCCCACCACAGGGGCUGAUGACGGCAUCUCUAGAAGUGUGUUGCCUUUAGCUUCCCUGCCAGGACCGGAUGCAGUCUGGCUGUGCUGCCGCUGCGGGGG